rnacentral:rRNA from 1 species
GGCUCAGGGAGAACGCCGGCGGCGUGCCUAACACACGCAAGUUCGAGCGGCAGCGCGAGUAGUUUACUACUUGGCGGCGAGCGGCGGACGGCCGAGUAACGCGCGGGAAUUUGCCCCAAAGUGAGGAAAUAACUCGCCCGAAAGGGUCGGCUAAUGCCGCAUAUGAUCUUCGGAUUUAAAGGAUUUAUCCGCUUUUGGGAGAAACCCGCGUCGGAUUAGGUAGUUUGGUGAGGUAAUGGCUCACCAAGCCGACGAUUCCGUAGCUGGUCUGAGAGGAUGACCAGCCAGACUGGAACUGAGACACGGUCCAGACUCCUACGGGAGGCAGCAGUGAGGAAUCUUCCACAAUGGGCGAAAGCCUGAUGGAGCAACGCCGCGUGCAGGAUGAAGGCCUUCGGGUUUGUAAACUGCUUUUAUAAGUGAGGAAUAUGACGGUAGCUUAUGAAUAAGGAUUCGGCUAACUACGUGCCAGGCAGCCGCGGUCAUACGUAGGAUUCCGAGCGUUAUCCGGAGUGACUGGGCGUAAAGAGUUGCGUAGGGCGGUUUGUUAAGUGAAUAGUGAAAUCUGGUGGCUCAACCAUACAGGCUAUUAUUCAAACUGGCAAACUCGAGAGUGGUAGAGGUCACUGGAAUUUCUUGUGUAGGAGUGAAAUCCGUAGAUAUAAGAAGGAACACCGAUGGCGUAGGCAGGUGACUGGACCAUUUCUGACGCUAAGGCACGAAAGCGUGGGGAGCGAACCGGAUUAGAUACCCGGGUAGUCCACGCCGUAAACGAUGGAUACUGGCUGUUGGAGGUAUCGACCCCUUCAGUAGCGAAGCUAACGCGUUAAGUAUCCCGCCUGUGGAGUACGGUCGCAAGACUAAAACAUAAAGGAAUUGACGGGGACCCGCACAAGCGGUGGAUCGUGUUCUUUAAUUCGAUGCUAAACGAAGAACCUUACCAGGGCUUGACAUCCAGGGAAUUUUUGGGAAACCAAUUAGUGCCUUUUGGAACCCUGUGACAGGUGAUGCAUGGCCGUCGUCAGCUCGUGUCGUGAGAUGUUUGGUUAAGUCCAUCAACGAGCGCAAACCCUUGCAACUAGUUGGAUUUUUCUAGUUGGACUGCUUCGGUAAACGGAGAGGAAGGAGGGGAUGAUGUCAGGUCAGUAUUUCCCUUACGUCCUGGGCUAGAAACACGAUACAAUGGCUAGUACAAAUGCGCAGCAAAAGCCGCGAGGUGGAGCAAAAUCGCAUCAAAAGCUAGUCCCAGUUCGGAUUGGAGGAUGAAACUCGCCUCCAUGAAGUCGGAAAUCGCUAGGAAUCGCAGAUCAAGCGAAGCUGCGGUAAAGACGUUUCCCGGGUCUUUGCACACACCGCCC